rnacentral:rRNA from 1 species
UACGUAGGGCGCAAGCGUUGUCCGGAAUUAUUGGGCGUAAAGCGCACGUAGGCGGCUUUGUAAGUUAGAGGUGAAAGCCCGGGGCUCAACUCCGGAAUUGCCUUUAAGACUGCAUCGCUAGAAUUGUGGAGAGGUAAGUGGAAUUCCGAGUGUAGAGGUGAAAUUCGUAGAUAUUCGGAAGAACACCAGUGGCGAAGGCGACUUACUGGACACAUAUUGACGCUGAGGAGCGAAAGCAUGGGGAGCGAACAGG